CCAGUCCUCUGGGCGAGCGCUCUGCAGGAAGCCGAGCCGGGCGCACACGUGCUGCUCGUUAAACCAGGGCCUCUGUGACCCCCCAGUCCCGGCCCAGCCGCCCAGAGGCCUCAUCCGGUCCCCAGGGGCAUGAGCGGAGUCCAGGGCGGCCGGAGGAGCAGGGACGGGGACCAGUCCACUGGAGGAGUCUAAUGACCCCACAAGGCGAUACCAGCAGCCACUGGAGACUAAUACCCAGGCCGUGUCCAUCUCUUCUCACUUGACCUGUGAGCUGAAGCGGACUCCAAGCAGUGUAAGUAAUGCCGCGACAGACACCUGCACCCUCUGCACUCAUGGUGCUUCCCGUCGUGCCAGCCGUGUGCCCCCAGCCCAGGACCGCCGGUUCCAAGUGUUUCCCGGGCUGCUGCUGUAUUGGUUUCCAACAGCACCACCCCAGCCCCACUCAGUCAAGCGUGAACAGUGGCUCUCACUGUGGCUCAUUGCGAGACGUCCUUGGCAGCUUUGAAGGACAGCUUGCUUCAGCCCUGGGUACGUGGGCAGGGGCUGUAGCUCCCCUGGGGCCCCCACGGGGCUCGGCUUCCCAACACUGAUGGGCUGAACCCACCACCUGCCUGUGGGGCCACCUCUUGGGCUCCGUCCAUUCGGAGUUCCCAGCUGGGGUUGGGGGGGAGGUACAGCUCACGAUCAUGUCGUGCAGGCCUGCCUGUGGAUCACUGGCCCCUGCAGGAGAGCCGAUGGGAUCAACAUGAGCCAGCACAGGAAAGACAUAGCCAUGGUUGCUACCGGUCAGGCCCCCAUUCCUGGGUCCCCACCCCCGCCCCGUGGUUAGAACCUGACAGGGCUCCUGUCCAAGAACCAUGAGAGCCCCUUGCCCUCCUACCUGCCUCUGUCUCCCCUCCCACACUAUGGGUGUACAUCGGUGCCCAGCCCAAGCUCAGGAGAACCACACGGAUGCUCGGAGGGCCAGCCAGCUGGGAGAGUGGGCGCCAGAAGGCCAUCAUCCACAGCCCUCGGAGACCAAACCUGGGUCCCCACCUCCUGGGCCCUGCAGAUGGCUGAGACCUCGGCCUUUGUGAGGCCAGAGGGCCCCCGCCACCCUCCCUCCUGCAGGCACCUAGGAGGGAGCAUCCCGGUGAAGGCCCGGCUGUGCAUGGAGCGCGGCCUCCCUCUGCUGGCGCCUGCAUGCAAUGACCAUGGGCGGUCACCCCAGGAGGCCACUCUCAGAACAGCUCAGGAUCCCAGGGCCACAGGCCUUGGAUGGUGGGGGGCCGUGGAAGCUGAGACCGCAGAUGCCCUCCACCCAGUCAGCGCUGCCGACCUGGCCCUACAAGGGUGCUGGCCAAGGCAGGCAGAGCCACCUCCACUGAGCACAAACAAUGAGCCAGCAAGCCCUGGGCUCCAGAGGAUGGUGUCCCGGACCCCUACGGGCACAGAGUCAGUACCACUAACCUGCUUCACUGGGAAGGAAACUGAGUCCCCCACAGGGACAGUGAUCUGUGGGUGAGGCUAUCAGGGCAUCCUCGCCCACUGCCCGGAGGAGAUAUGAGGACAUGGAGCACCAGCAUGCUCACUGGCCCUUCCUGGAGCUCUUCCCUCCACAGGCUGCCUGGGCUAGGGCUGCCUGGACUGGGGUGCCCUAGGGGCACUGCCUGGCAGUGGAAGGGGCUGAGGAGGACCUCAGACCCUGGGGCCCAGACACUGCCUCCCAUCCCAUCAGACCUCCUAAAGCGGCGGGUGGGCAGAAGCCAGCAGGGGCACUGAGGGAGAGGUGCCAGCUGCAGGCAUCUGGGUUUGGGCCAGGUCUAGGGGUCCCCCUUCCUGUACACUACGGGGCCUGUCCCUGGAAGCUGUCUCCCCACCCUGCCCACCCCUCUGUCGGCUCUAGGCCUGACUCCACCACAGACCAGCAUCCACACUCCCAACCUGCAUGCUCCCACACCCAGCCCCUGACCCAAGAGGCCAUAGGAGGCCCAGCACCCCUCCCCUACUCCCUGGGGCCUGGUGGCUCCUCUCUGGAGCUGAAUGCCAGGCUUGGCUCAGAGACUGCGACCUCUGGGUCCCACCCCACCACCCCUCCCCCCAACACCCAGGGUGGCGACCAGCAGAUCUCACAGCCCAGGCAGAUGAAGGGCUUCUCUCAUCACCAUUGUGAGCUGCUGCCCCAGCUCCAGAGAGAGGGGCCUGGUGGUCUCAGCAGGAAUAAACAGCAGGCCGACUGUUUAUCUGUCCUGACGGCAAAAGCUGGGACGUCUCUGUGCACUGGGCCAUCAUUGCUGGGGAGUCGGGGGGCGGGGGAGGCUGUAGCCAGAAGCUGGCUGGAGCUGGGCCAAACUGGGAACCCAAGAUUGAGCUCACCUCGGCCCCGCCCAGCUUGCUGGGAGUGUGGGGUCACCACUUCUGCCCGCCUCCUGAUCCCUGGACCCCCGGCCCCCAGUUCCAGCUGGGCCUGUUCUGGAAGUGAAAGACCCAUAGGAAAGAGACGGCAUCUGUUCCGGGCAUCCCAGACAUCCUCGGCGCCAUGUGGUUCCAGGUGUUCCGUGCUUUCUCUCUGAACAACCUCAAACCAGCGUGUGGCAGGAUGGACACAAGGUGCCCUGGCCUACAGCCAGCCAAGCCCCAAGCACAGGAAGACCCCGCAGACCUGUGGCCACCCUCCCGGAGCCACUGCUGACCAAGGACACAUGAAUGUUCUCAGUGCUGAUUGUUUUAAGCCACUGAGGUAGUUUGUUACACAGCUUUAGCUGACUGAUGCAGAUGGGAUCAUUGGAAGACAAAAGAGUCAGAGACAAAUAUAUAAAGUAAUGAGAAUGUCCUCACAAUUUUCUAAAAUACUGAGACUCAAUAGAGCUUUUAUUUUAUUCCAUGACAUUUCACUUUUUUUAUACAAUACUUUUUUUGAAAUUCAUUUAUCUGCUAAUACCUUAUUUUAGAAUAAUAGUGUAUAUUUGAUACAUACAGUUCCACAAAUUUGUAUAUUUUCCUCAUUUUUUAAUAUGCAUGAACAUUUUUAUAUCUCAAAUGUGGAAAAUAUUUCAUUUCUUAGAAUGUACUAAAUG